GUCAAUGGUCGUACAGGAGAGACGUGUUGCUCCUCCUGCCGCCCCGCCGGCUUUACCCCUUCCUCAGCCUCUUAAUACACCUAAAUAACGUGUGGUAACUGAGGAGUGCUGUGCCUGGCUGUGCUGCAGCAUUGAUCAGCACGGCAACUUUGACCAGUCUGAGGGGUGGAGACAACCACGCUAGUAAAUGAUCUGACCCAUAACAUUCGUGUUAUAUGGAGAUGCAGCAGUUGGAGACGUCGUUCAAGGUGGGCGGGGGCCCAUGUGUAAGGAGGAUUCUGCUGCAAGUAAAAAUGAUCCUCUAGUCUCCAGUGCUCUGAUAGACUGUUGUGCACGAGGACGUGUUUAUCUUCCCUGCAGUGUUGUACAAGACUGUCCAGCGUCGCAACACUUGCCUUCCUGACACUACAAACACAAGGUAUACUGGUCGGUCUGCCAUCAAAUAGAAAUUACUGUUAAUUCGAGGUUUUGACCUGCCCUGCCCUGCCCUGCCCUGCCCUGCCCUGCCGCGUCGUCGUCGUCGUCACAAGUUCUUGUGUUCACCUAGUUGCACUAGGAGGGGGUUGAAUCAUGGCUCCCGUUUCCCUGCUCUUUAUAUACUAAAAUUCCCGUGUGCACGUGCCUGGCAGCACUCUGCAGCUUGGUCAUCUGCAUCUCUUGUGGUGUUGUGCAUUGUAAGUCAAGGAGAUAGAGAAAGAAGCUGGGUGUAAGGAGUUACACAAGUUAUGAGUGGUGCAGUACACAGACGGACCCCACACCUUGUCACUCAUCCUUUCCAAAACUCAGUUGCUGUGACAGGUCCUUACUACCAUGUAUUCCACUGCCACUGUUGGAGCAGAAUAUAAUCUCUAGUCAUGCAAGACUUCUGAUCAGAUGUAGUCUCAUCCACUACUGUGAAGCUUUGAGGUCAUGAUCGUCUACAAACUGCUGUCUUUACGUGUAUGCAGAUACGCAGCCCAAGUAUAUGAAGCAUGUGUUAUAGUGACAGACACUGAAAUUCAGAGUGGCAUGGCUCAUUAAUGAUUUAUCCUUUGUGAAAUAUUUUCUGGUUUGAAAUAAUUUAAGACAAAAGUAGAAACCUUAUCACUUUUCCUGGUGUGACCAUCAGUCAUGUGGAAGAGGCGUUACAGGUUAUGCCUGACAUUUUUUGAGUAUAUUCCAGUUAUGAGGUUUCACUUAUUAUAUAGUGGACUUCUUCACUAGUAGUAACAGUAAAGAUUUCCAAUUUUAUAUUAUCUGACCUCAUGUAUCAUGAUACUAGGAUAUUGCUCUUUAAUUUUAUUAUAUAUACGUAUGUUUGCCAGUAAUGGUGCAAUUGUCUUGAUGCACCAGGUAGAUGACCAGACGCUAGUUUAGCUGCCGGCUUACUAUUCAUGACCGACCUCAUGUGGGGGUAUACAGUCACUGUAGUUUCAGGCCCUUGGCCAUGAAUACAAUUCUCCCUGGCACUCAAGAAAUGUUACUUAAGUCUCUUGCAUGGAACAAUACAGGAUAUCUCUUAGCAGAUAACCGUUUGGUUUAUGAUGUGGAAUAAUUUAAAAAGUCUCUUGAUUGUUAUGAGUUAUCAAUGAGGUAUUGAUUAUUUAAUACACCUUAAUGAUUGUUAAACUUUAUCAUUGGGAUCUAUGCUUUCCUGGUAAUGGCCUUUAUUAAAUUCCGAGUUCAUAAAUUUAUGAGUAUCUAAGUUUAAUAUUAAAAAUAAUAAUUUUACUCUGGAAUUUGAAUCACUCACAAGAAAGUAGGAAGGUUAACAAAUUAAAUUUUCAUUGAAGCACUGCUACACAAUACCCUUGUUGUGUAUGAAGAUUUACUCUUAGACAAAGCCAAUAUUCAAACUGAUUCCCCAGAAAAGAUCAGUGUGCUAAAGUUAACCCCACCAUAUGUAACAAUAUAUACAUAUACAGCCUCUCUGACCAGUAUUUAUACCUAAAUAAUGUAUACUAGAGUUGAUUUCCUGUGUUCUGUUUAUUUCAAUAUACAGUACACUAUUGUAUAAACAUUUAAAAAUAUACUCAAAAUAUUAUAAAUGGUGCAAAGAUGGUUGACACAAACCCACUACCAUUUUGGUAUCUCCUCAGGAGAGGCUGUAUGUAUAAUGUUAUACCUAAUAAGCCAAACUUUUUGAAUUCCCUUUAAAAUUUAACUUUUCCAAAAAAUUCUUUUACUGAAUGAUGUAAAGAUUUUUAUUUAUGGUUCAAAACUUAGAAAGCUCACUCAAACUAGUAUAAUUUAAUUAACAGAAUUUAUGUAUAGCACAAGUCAGAUUAUUUAAUAUUACUUCAAAUCAAUUAUAUGUAUAUAUAUUUUUUUUUAAGUUUAGAUUCAUUUCCAUUCUUUUAUGGCAUAAUAUAAUUCAUUCCACUAAUUCAACGGAGAACACUCUUGUUAAACAAGGUGAUUCGGCAUACAGUGGUACCUUGACUCGAGUUUGUCAUUUCGUAACUCAAUUUGCUCGUAUAUCAAAUCAAUUUUCCUCAUUGAAAUGCCAUUAAUCCCUUCCAGUGCAAUUCCUGGCUCUCAGUAGGCAGAAGAUAUUUCAAUAUAACACUAAUAUCAACUCUAUGGCUUAUCUAUCACAAUCGAUCUAAAAUAACACAGAAACAUGAUAUAUACUCUGGAAUGAAUAAAAUGUCAUGUGAUGAGUGGUGGUGGCGGCCACUCCCGAGGUAAGAAUAAUUAUUGCUCUGACAAUAUCUUGCCCUUCUGAGGUCUUAUUAUAAGAGAAAAUGGAGUGUUUGUGAGGCUAACUGCACUAGAUAACUAGUUUCAUGAGGAAAAUAUUGAAAAAAAAAAAAAAAAAUUGAAAUCCCCCCCCCCCCCACAGUCAGGAGACCAGCCUAUGUGUAAGUAUGCUUAUAUUGCCUCGCCAACUCAACUACACGCACACUUUGCUCGUGUUUUUAUGCUUUAUUAUUAUAAUCAAGGGGGAAGCGCUAAACCCGGAGGAUUAUAUAGCACCUGGAGGGGGGGAAUGUGGAAGGCAUUCAGGCUUAAUUCGGGGAACUGGAGCACAGAUCCAAUUUCCUAAUUCAAGAGCCCCUCACCAACAUCAAGGAACCUUCCUUGAGGGGUUUUUUUUAUGCUUUAAUUCAGUGGAUAUCAUCCUCUUCUCAGCACUGUCCUUUGCACUUACUUUCUUAGGCCCAUGGUUAGAAAAAAAGAAAUUUGGCAAAAUAACUGCACAUAACACAAGAAAAAUGCUUCUAUGGCGAGGUAACCAUGUGCACUGUUGUGGUGUUUACUGUGCCAACUAGUGGUGGCAUAUCUGAAGCUCACUCGGAUUUUGGCUUGCAAUUCAAAGCAGAAAAUCGACUGAGUGACGGCUUGUAACUCGUAGGUCAAGGUACCACUGUAUAUACAGCCUCUUCUCACUUAGCGACUUACGAAGGGCUCUCUGACCAGUAUGCAUAUUUAAUACAUUUAGAAUAUUUACUUUGUCCUAUACUUAAUUCUAAUUUUAGAUUCACUAUAAAUCUUAUGAUAACUAGCAUUGAUCCUCUUAUCUAAUGACUUAAAUGAAUCAAACAGUAACUGUAAUUACUACACAGCAGAACAAUCAAAGGCACUUCUCAGAGCCAACAACAUAACUGUCUUUGCUUAAAUAUCUGAUAUUGUAGUUAAACAUUAUGAUGACCUCAUAGCAUUACUAAAUCCCCCCAGCGCUGUAUAGCCCUUGUGGCUCAGCGCUUCUUUUUGAUAAUGCUAAAUUGCCAGUAUGUCCAUCAUUACUCUCACCGAAACCUGGCUAAAGCCUGAUACUACUGAUGUCUAUGCCAUUCCAGGUUACACAACUGUAGGCCAGAGCAACAAGGGGGUGGCACAGCUAUAUACUACUCAUACCAACUAGAAUGUAUCACUAAUACUUGCACAAGGGAUGAACAUAGGGAAUAUAUAAUAGCUAAAUUCAAAUCCAAAAACCUCUCACAGUGAUAAACAUCUACAGAGUACCACAGUCAAACAUUAACCAUUUUAGUGACAACCUAGGAAGUAUGAUAACUGAUGCACGCAUGAACAAAGAUCACUUACUACUCUCAGGUGACUUCAGUAUAAAUCUCCCCUUAAGAUCAGGCAUAAUCACAGAUAAUACCACAGACCAUUACCCUACCUUCCUUACAACAAACCUUGGCAAAUUACCCCUACACAAUACUAAAGUCACUUUCAGACUUCACAAUGAGGCAGCUAUCAAUAACUUCACAGCAACAUUGACUGGCACACUGAACUAGAAAUCUAUACAGAUAUUGAUGAAAGUAUUAAUAAUUUUCUAAAAAAGACCCAAUACCUCCAUAACAAGAAUUGCCCUAAAAAACUAAAAGAUGACUGCGAAGAGACUAAACAGUCCCUGGCUAACACCCAGUAUCCAUAAAUACAAAGCACCAAUACGAAAAACAGUAAAGAAUUCGCCAUAUAACCAGAGCCCAAACAAAACGUUACUCGUCAAUCCUAAUAAGAAGGGCUAAAAAAUUCUAUUACGAGAACAGAUUAUCCAACUUAUGAGGCGACAUAAAAAAGACCUGGAAAACCCUAUCAGAAAUACUAGGAACAAAAAAGAUAAUGUGAAAUUAACAAAACCAGAUGAACCCCAAUUCCCACCUAUUGAAACAGCAGACUCAAUGAUUUCUUCUCCACUAUAGGAAAAAAACCUUGCAAAUAAAAUCCCAAGCUCAGAUACCCCACUCAAUGACUACCUCACUGGUAACUACCCGAACACACUGUUCCUAGCUCCGACUAACCCAACUGAAGUCUCCCUUAUCAACAAACAAAACAGGAGAUUUAAAUACCUUACCACCCACUGUAUACAAAAAGUGUCACAGGUGCUAUCACCAAUCAUUUCAACAUUCUUUAACAAAUCCAUUGAAUCCUCUACCUUUCCUACAGUUCUCAAAAUAGCAAGGGUCACCCCGAUCCAUAAAGGAGGAGACCACACAGACUUAAAUAACUAUAGGCCAAUAUCCAACUUACACCCCUCUCUCUAAAA